GGAUGAAUCUUGCGCAAUGGACGAAAGUCUGACGCAGCCACGCCGCGUGCAGGACGAAGGCCCUACGGGUCGUAAACUGCUUUUGUCAGGGAAGAAACCGCGGGAUUUGUCCCGCGCUGACGGUACCUGUCGAAUAAGCACCGGCUAACUCCGUGCCAGCAGCCGCGGUAAUACGGAGGGUGCAAGCGUUGUCCGGAAUCAUUGGGUGUAAAGGGUGCGCAGGCGGACUGCUAAGUCUGGGGUGAAAGGC
rnacentral:rRNA from 1 species